ACUAUCAUCUCAAAUUCUAAUUCUGGAUGCCUAAAUAACUCUUCAGGCACUUAAACACGUUGUAUCACAUUAUAAACCAGUCAAAGGGCGUUUUGGUAAGAAAACUCUUCUUUUCUUCAUUCAUUGUUUCUCUGCUCCACCUGAUUUUUCCUGUAGCUCCAAAACCCCAAUCAAUAAGUGAAUGAAGGAAUGUGAAUCAUUAAACGUUUGUUGUUUUAGGGUACUUGUGUUGAAGUAGGAUGGAAGGUUGCAAAUGGGUGGUCUUGCUGUGGAAUCACGAUUGAGUGAUUUGAGUCGGAAACUAGUGAACUCUAUUUUAGGACCGUCAGGCCCACUGGGGCACCCCACCACCUCGGUGGCUACCCGGAAGAUCGUUGAGGCAACGAUGGAUGGUAACCAGAACUACCCUGACGUUGGCUCUAGCCUUGUAAAGAGUGGAGUAAAUCUUGUCUGAACUUAAGUGAUCGGCAGCCUACAAAUUUUAAGAACGAUUAUUUUAUAUUUAUUUGUGAACUUCAUAUUUCAGUUUAAUGUUCUUAUUAGCUCGAUGUAGUAAGCCGAGGAAAGCUUACGGCGUAGAGCUAUGGACACGAUGUAGUAUAUAUUGUUGUUCUUAUACAUAAAUAUAAUGGGCUGGGUAGUUUUCUCUGGCUGCUAAAUUAUGCUGUC